UACGUAGGGAGCAAGCGUUGUCCGGAAUCAUUGGGCGUAAAGCGCGCGUAGGCGGCCCUGUAAGUCCGCUGUGAAAGUCAAAGGCUCAACCUUUGAAAGCCGGUGGAUACUGCAGGGCUAGAGUCCGGAAGAGGCGAGUGGAACUCCUGGUGUAGCGGUGGAAUGCGCAGAUAUCAGGAAGAACACCAACGGCGAAGGCAGCUCGCUGGGACGGUACUGACGCUGAGACGCGAAAGCGUGGGGAGCGAACAGG
rnacentral:rRNA from 1 species